CUCGUGUACAUCUCUGCGCUCGCUCGCGGUGUGUGUCCCACCCCGAAAGUAAGAACAGAAAAAAAAAACGGAACGAAUAGAGAGACACAGAAAGAAAGAAACGGGGAAAUAUACCUCGAGAAAUAUUCUAGCGAGAUUUAAAGAAUAAAGACGUUUGGUUGUUUUGUCGUUUGCAAAUAGGCAUCGGCUUGACUACUUGCAUUCCGUCUCCUGCCUGGAGUCUAUUGAAGCAGAUCGCGAUGGACGGGCGAAGGACACUAUCCAUUGCAGCUGUGGUGCUCGCGCUUCAGGUUGUCAUGGCAACGGCUUCCCGGGAUGUGACGUCAGAGGAGGUUAAUUCAAGACAGAAGAGGUUCAUUUACAUCCCCCUGACGGAUUUUUUCACCUACAACCAAAUCGUAACGAUCGGCUUCGCGCUCCUCCUGGCCGUUAUCGUGGCUUCCUUGGCGUACCUGAGCGAAGAUGCGUCCGGUUACGAGGCCUCGACGGGUUACCUGGCACCGCACAGACGCGUCAUCGACAG